rnacentral:lncRNA from 1 species
CAUUCCCCUUGCAGUCCUUCCAGUGCACGUGCACCCAUCAUGCCUUACGGCCAUCAGAUGUUCAAGAACAACAUGGCGGNCUGGUAAAGGUGUGAAAAUGUGAGCAAAACAUGGCUUUUUAAAUGUCUUUCCAGUGCACGUGAACCCAUCAUGCCUUACGGUCAUCAGAUGUUCAAGAACAACAUGGCNGACUGGUAAAAGUGUGAAAAUGUGAGCAAAUCAUGGCUGUUUAAAUGUGGCAUACUUCAUUGUUGGUACUGUGCUUUGGUAACUGCUGGCAUGCUUCAGCAAGUGUUUAAUCUCAAGAGGGAACAGGACAAAAUCCAUGGACUGAUAAAGGUCAUAUGAGUUAUUUUUUGUUGCAGUAUGAAUUAUCUACUUUCAUGUAUGAGAGCUACUGUAUCCACAACUUGGCAAGCUGUUGUAAAAUUGAACUGGUUUUAAGUCGUACAAAUUAUUUCUAUGUCACCCAAAGAAUACACAAAUUUCUUUGCUUUCCAAGACAAAGCUCUUGUAUAAAAAUUAUAUAUUUGUGGCAUAAUAUUUAUGUGUGAUUCAUGGUUCCAACUCCAACAAUUAUUAAGCAAUGCAUUUGUUUUCCUAGCAAAAUUAAAAUCAAAAUAUCCUACUCAAGGAUGCUACACAGAUUGCAUAUUUGCUAAACCUUCAACAAGCGAUAAUCGUAAUGUACAAUCAAAGUUUUCAAGUCUGAGAUGUUCUAGCAAAAUGUUUGAACAUUUUGGACAUACAGUACUGUACGUGUAUGUAGCGAUGACAGUUACCUACUAUAAGGGGGUUGGAACCAUGAAUUCUAUUUCAUUCAUAGUAACUUGAACAGGAGAGAAAAUCUGUAGGAGAAAAUAUUGCAACCCAAAAAUUGCAUCCCUUUGUGGUAAUGAGGAAAGCUUAAAAAUUGAAAUAUUUUAUGCCAAAAUUAUUGAUAUGACUCCAGUGAGGUAAACAAAGUGGCCUUCAGUGUGUGUGUGUGAAAUGCAUGGUGAGAAAAUUUUGAUGCAAUAAGACUUGGGUCAAAUUUUUAAGGCUAUGAAAUAUGCUGGCUUGUGAGAUUUCUAUCAUGGAAUUAGAGGUGAGUUUUAGAGUAUAGAAAAUCAGUUAUGAUUAUCCAACUUUAAUCUACAAAGGGGUAAGUAAAAAUGACAUAAGUAUAAAAUAGUAGUAAUAGUAAGUUAGAGAUUGAAAUCAAUAAUUGAUUUGGUUAUCAUAAUUGAAUCGGAAUUGGUUAUUUUUCAAAGACCAUUCCAAUGCCUUUGCAAGAGAGGAACGUCCAUGAAAAAAAAACUUUUCUACUCCUUAAAAAUCGUAUAAAGACAUUUGCACUAACAGAUCAUGUGACACUACAGUACCCCCUUAAUAUGAGCAGUUAUGUCAAAACUAACACUGGAAAAGAGCACCUACUGUUACAGUACUCAUGGUAAGAAUNCAAAGCUUCAGGUCAUAAUACUACAAAAAAUGGUACACUUUUUUGAUUUUGUUACAUAUAUUAUAAAAGUUUAUUAUAAAACUUAGGCACCUAGGACAUUUUCACAGGAGAUAUAGAUUCAUUUCUUCCAAUCAGAACUAUAUUUGUAAUGUUUAUUGAUCAUAUGGAUCAUAGAAUGUGAAUACUACUAUUUCUGUACAGUUAGCCUAUAAGAAGCCAAAGAAAUAUACUGUAGAUUAAUUAAUUUUGGCACAGUUGUGUCAUGUUUAAUCACCUAUAAUAAAGCAAGAAAUGCUUUACAGCCUUGAAA